CAAAGAAGCAGCAAAACAGAGGGCCUGGAUCUCUGUUAGUUGGACUCAGAAGGGAGAUCAACUUGACUGUAGAUACUGAAGAAGAUGAAGUUGAAGAUAUGAUUACAUAUGAAGCCCAUUCAUCUGCCAGUCAUUAAUUGUUGUGUAUAUUGUGGACCUGACAUCCUUUCAGAAGUUUGGACUACAAAGCUGGAAAAGGAGGGCCCUACGUGGCAGUCCCCGGGAUGAGAAAACCAUGUGUCAGAAAGCUGGUGCCGAAUCCCUCACACUAUUUUUACCUUCCUGACACUACCUCUUUGAGCCCCGAGGAGGAUCCUGGCCUGAGGUGGCCGAGCUGGAGUCUUCCAGGCUGAUGUGGCCAACCUUCACCUUGUUCUCCAGAAACCACCAAAAAGCUGGCGAUUCACUUUUCUUGACCAGAAAUAAAUGCAUCAGACAAGUGUUCUCAAGUAAUCUUGAGGGAUGUGAACACAAAAUUAUCCCAUAAAUUGCUUUUGUUUCCUUUCCUCAGUUCAAAGUUGGUUUUUGGUUUGCAUUAGUUACAUUAAAAUUGGACAGUAAUUCAUGCUCUUAAAAUAGA
rnacentral:lncRNA from 1 species